GGAUGCGAUCAUACCAGCACUAAAGCACCGGAUCCCAUCAGAACUCCGUAGUUAAGCGUGCUUGGGCGAGAGUAGCACCAGGAUGGGUGACCUCCUGGGAAGUCCUCGUGUUGCAUUCC
rnacentral:rRNA from 2 species